UACGAAGGGGGCUAGCGUUGCUCGGAUUGACUGGGCGUAAAGGGCGCGUAGGCGGUUCGUACAGUCAGACGUGAAAUCCUGGAGCUCAACUCCAGAACUGCCUUUGAUACUGAGGAUCUUGAGUUCGGGAGAGGUGAGUGGAACUGCGAGUGUAGAGGUGAAAUUCGUAGAUAUUCGCAAGAACACCAGUGGCGAAGGCGGCUCACUGGCCCGAUACUGACGCUGAGGCACGAAAGCGUGGGGAGCAAACAGG
rnacentral:rRNA from 1 species